UUUGUACUCCCUCCGUUCCAAAUUACUUGUCGCGGAAAUGGAUGUAUCUAGAAAUAAAUACAUCUAGAUACAUCCAUACCCGCGACAAGUAAUUCGGAACGGAGGGAGUACUAC
rfam:Triticum aestivum genome assembly, contig: Triticum_aestivum_CS42_TGACv1_scaffold_193737_3AL